rnacentral:rRNA from 1 species
ACCUCAGUAACGGCGAGUGAAGCGGUAACAGCUCAAAUUUGAAAUCUGGGUCUUUCAGGCUCCGAGUUGUAAUUUGUAGAAGAUGCUUCGGGUGCGGCUCCGGUCUAAGUUCCUUGGAACAGGACGUCAUAGAGGGUGAGAAUCCCGUAUGUGAUCGGUUGCUUGCGCCCAUGUGAAGCUCUUUCGACGAGUCGAGUUGUUUGGGAAUGCAGCUCCAAAUGGGUGGUAUAUUUCAUCUAAAGCUAAAUAUUGGCCAGAGACCGAUAGCGCACAAGUAGAGUGAUCGAAAGAUGAAAAGCACUUUGGAAAGAGAGUUAAACAGUACGUGAAAUUGUUGAAAGGGAAGCGCUUGCAACCAGACUUGCGUGUCGUCGAUCAUCCGGGGUUCUCCCCGGUGCACUCGGCUUCACUCAGGCCAGCAUCGGUUUCGGUGGUUGGAUAAAGGCCUUGGGAAUGUAGCUCCUCUCGGGGAGUGUUAUAGCCCUCGGUGCAAUGCAGCCUACCGGGACCGAGGACCGCGCUUCGGCUAGGAUGCUGGCGUAAUGGUUGUAAGCGACCCGUCUUGAAACACGGACCAAGGAGUCUAACAUCUAUGCGAGUGUUUGGGUGUCAAACCCAUACGCGUAAUGAAAGUGAACGGAGGUGAGAACCCUUAAGGGUGCAUCAUCGACCGAUCCUGAUGUCUUCGGAUGGAUUUGAGUAAGAGCAUAGCUGUUGGGACCCGAAAGAUGGUGAACUAUGCCUGAAUAGGGUGAAGCCAGAGGAAACUCUGGUGGAGGCUCGCAGCGGUUCUGACGUGCAAAUCGAUCGUCAAAUUUGGGUAUAGGGGCGAA